rnacentral:lncRNA from 1 species
GUCUCUGUGAGGAUGCAGGUUUGAUCCCUGGCCUCGCUCAGUGGGUUGAGGAUCCAGUGUUGCCACAGGCUUCGGCGGCGGAGGUCACAGAUGCAUCUCAGAUCCGGUGUUACCGUGGCUGUGGGUUAGACUGGCAGCUGUGGCUCCGAUUCGACUCUUAGCCUGGGAACUGCCAUAUGCCACAGGUGAAGCUGUAAAAAGCAAAAAAAGGAGAAGAAGGAAAAGAAAAAAUGGCAUCUCAGAUGGGCCACUGGAACAUUUGGAAACGUGCAGACGGGCACUGGUGAAAUGAGCAGCACGAGAAAAGGAGUAAAGCAAAUGCUGGUGGGAGCCCAUGAGAAACAGGCUGGUCGUGAGCCCCAGAACCCCCAUGAGGAGUUAAACCAGGCCUGGCUCUGCAGCGCACACGGGAGGAGAAGAGAAAAGGAAGUGGAAG